AACGAACGCUGGCGGCAUGCCUAACACAUGCAAGUCGAACGAGACCUUCGGGUCUAGUGGCGCACGGGUGCGUAACGCGUGGGAACCUGCCCUUAGGUUCGGAAUAACUCCCCGAGAGGGGUGCUACUACCGGAUAAUGUCUCCGGACCAAAGAUUCAUCGACUUUGGAUGGGCCCGCGUUGGAUUAGCUAGUUGGUAGGGUAAAUGCCUACCAAGGCGACGAUCCAUAGAUGGUCUGAGAGGAUGAGCAGCCACACUGGGACUGAGACACGGCCCAGACUUCUACGGGAGGCAGCAGUGGGGAAUAUUGGAAAAUGGGCGAAAGGCUGAUCCAGCAAUGCCGCGUGAGUGAUGAAGGCCUUAGGGUUGUAAAGCUCUUUUACCCGGGAUGAUAAUGACGGUACCGGGAGAAUAAGCUCCGGCUAACUCCGUG
rnacentral:rRNA from 1 species